rnacentral:rRNA from 1 species
GGCGUGCCUAACACAUGCAAGUCGAACGAAGCACUUUGAAGUUUUCGGACAGAUUGGUGACUGAGUGGCGGACGGGUGAGUAACGCGUGGGUAACCUGCCUCAUACAGGGGGAUAACAGUUAGAAAUGACUGCUAAUACCGCAUAAGACCACGAAGCCGCAUGGCUUUGUGGGAAAAACUCCGGUGGUAUGGGAUGGACCCGCGUCUGAUUAGCUAGUUGGUGGGGUAACGGCCUACCAAGGCGACGAUCAGUAGCCGACCUGAGAGGGUGACCGGCCACAUUGGGACUGAGACACGGCCCAAACUCCUACGGGAGGCAGCAGUGGGGAAUAUUGCACAAUGGGGGAAACCCUGAUGCAGCGACGCCGCGUGAGCGAAGAAGUAUUUCGGUAUGUAAAGCUCUAUCAGCAGGGAAGAAAAUGACGGUACCUGACUAAGAAGCACCGGCUAAAUACGUGCCAGCAGCCGCGGUAAUACGUAUGGUGCAAGCGUUAUCCGGAUUUACUGGGUGUAAAGGGAGCGUAGACGGCUGUGUAAGUCUGAAGUGAAAGCCCGGGGCUCAACCCCGGGACUGCUUUGGAAACUAUGCAGCUAGAGUGUCGGAGAGGCAAGUGGAAUUCCCAGUGUAGCGGUGAAAUGCGUAGAUAUUGGGAGGAACACCAGUGGCGAAGGCGGCUUGCUGGACGAUGACUGACGUUGAGGCUCGAAAGCGUGGGGAGCAAACAGGAUUAGAUACCCUGGUAGUCCACGCCGUAAACGAUGACUACUAGGUGUCGGGUAGCAGAGCUAUUCGGUGCCGCAGUUAACACAAUAAGUAGUCCACCUGGGGAGUACGUUCGCAAGAAUGAAACUCAAAGGAAUUGACGG